GACGAACGCUGGCGGCGUGCUUAACACAUGCAAGUCGAACGAGUGGCGGACGGGUGAGUAAUGCUUGGGAAUCUGGCUUAUGGAGGGGGAUAACGACGGGAAACUGUCGCUAAUACCGCGUACCAUAGGAUGAGCCCAAGUGUGAUUAGGUAUGUGGUGGGGUAAUGGCCUACCAAGCCGACGAUCUCGAGCUGGUCUGAGAGGAUGACCGGCCACCCCGGGACUGAGCCACGGCCCGGACUCCUACGGGAGGCAGAAGUGGGGAAUAUUGCGCAAUGGGGGAAACCUGACGCAGCCAUGCCGCGUGAAUGAAGAAGGCCUUCGGGUUGUAAAGUUCUUUCGGUGACGAGGCGUUAAUCACAGAAGAAGCACCGGCUAACUCCGUGCCAGCCGCCGCGGUAAUAC
rnacentral:rRNA from 1 species